rnacentral:rRNA from 1 species
UGCGCCUUGCCAGCCCGCUCAGAAACUUAAAGGAAUUGACGGGGGCCCGCACAAGCGGUGGAGUAUGUGGUUUAAUUCGAUGCAACGCGAAGAACCUUACCUGGUCUUGACAUCCCGGAGACCCUUAGGAAACUAGGGGGUGCUUCCAUCUGGAAGAAUCUGGAGACAGGUGCUGCAUGGCUGUCGUCAGCUCGUGUCGUGAGAUGUUGGGUUAAGUCCCGCAACGAGCGCAACCCUUGCCUUUAGUUGCCAGCAGUUCGGCUGGGCACUCUAAAGGGACUGCCGGUGUUAAACCGGAGGAAGGUGGGGAUGACGUCAAGUCCUCAUGGCCUUUAUGACCAGGGCUACACACGUACUACAAUGGCCGAUACAAAGGGCAGCGACACUGCGAGGUGAAGCCAAUCCCGUAAAAUCGGUCUCAGUCCGGAUUGGAGUCUGCAACUCGACUCCAUGAAGUUGGAAUCGCUAGUAAUCGUGGAUCAGCCAAGCCGCGGUGAAUACGUUCCCGGGCCUU